rnacentral:rRNA from 1 species
UACGGGGGGAGCAAGCGUUGUUCGGAUUUACUGGGCGUAAAGGGCGCGUAGGCGGCGCAACAAGUCACUUGUGAAAUCUCCGGGCUUAACCCGGAGCGGCCAAGUGAUACUGUCGUGCUAGAGUGCGGAAGGGGCUACUGGAAUUCUCGGUGUAGCGGUGAAAUGCGUAGAUAUCCGGAGGAACCCCAGAGGCGAAGGCGGCGCCCUGGCUCGCAACUGACGCUCAGACACGACAGCAUGGGGAGCGAACGGG